rnacentral:rRNA from 1 species
UACGUAGGGGGCAAGCGUUAUCCGGAUUUACUGGGUGUAAAGGGGGCGCAGACGGCGAUGCAAGCCAGGAGUGAAAGCCCGGGGCUCAACCGCGGGACUGCAUUGGAAACUGCGGGACUGGAGUGUCGGAGGGGUAAGCGGAAUUCCUGGUGUAGCGGUGAAAUGCGUAGAUAUCAGGAGGAACACCGGUGGCGAAGGCGGCUUACUGGACGAUGACUGACGCUGAGGCUCGAAAGCGUGGGGAGCAAACAGG